rnacentral:lncRNA from 1 species
AUGAACCGUCAAAGUUUGUCUAGUCCUGGGCAGGCCCAUUUGUGCCUACCAGUGAGCCUCCUAGUAGUCCUGCAGACCCACGUUGGCCCCUCACGUGGAAGGUCUGGAAAUCCACUGGCCCUGGUUGUGUAGAUGCCAGGCCUGCACAUGGGAGUGGACAUUAGACUCACUGUCUCAAUUCCCCAGGAAUCCUGACUUCUCUUGGCAUCAUCCCUCGGCCACACGCUUACAUCAGUCAUAUGGGAAUCCACUGAUGACUCAGCCUGGUGGCCUUGGAAGCCCCUGUGUGCCAGCCCAGGGCAAGCUCUAGUGGGCUGGAGUGGACCGACAUGGCCCUGCCCUCCAGGAGCUCCCAGGAACACCUCACACACUCUGUGGCAAGAAAGCUCCAAGUUAGAGCAUCUGCAAUUCAGCCCAGUGUGCAACAAGCCAUAUGGUAUGAAUGCGAAACAGAAGACAACAGAAGCCCCUCAUCCGCCUUUGUCUGCAGAACUCCCUCGAAAGCGUGGACCACGGGCUCCUCCUGCCCUGCCUGUCCUUGCAGAGGCUGGACAGCUUCCCCACCAGCAACAGAGGGAACCAAGGCAGGAGAGACCUGUUGUCAGGUGGGAGA